AAUUCAACCUAGUACGAGAGGAA
rnacentral:snRNA from 1 species